AGGUUACCCGAGCAACUUUGCAU
rnacentral:miRNA from 14 species